rnacentral:rRNA from 1 species
UACGUAGGGGGCAAGCGUUGUCCGGAUUUAUUGGGCGUAAAGAGCGUGUGAGCGGCCAGACAGGUCCGUUGUGAAAACUCGAGGCUCAACCUCGAGACGCCGAUGGAAACCGUCUGGCUAGAGUCCGGAAGAGGAGAGUGGAAUUCCUGGUGGUAGCGGUGAAAUGCGCAGAUAUCAGGAAGAACACCCGUGGCUAAGGCGGCUCUCUAGUACGGUACUGACGCUGAGACGCGAAAGCGUGGGGAGCGAACAGG